GUGGCGCACGGCUGAGUAACACGUGGGAACCCGCCCCCCGGUGGGGGAUAACGCGACGAAAGUUGCGCUAAUCCCGCAUACGUCCUUUGGGGGAAAGCGCAGUGCGCGCCGGGGGAGGGGCCUGCGGCAUCAGGUCGUUGGUGGGGUAAUGGCCUACCAAGCCGAUGACGGGUAGCUGGUCUGGGAGGAUGACCAGCCAGACUGGGACUGAGACACGGCCCAGACUCCUACGGGAGGCAGCAGCAAGGAAUUUUCGGCAAUGGGCGCAAGCUGACCGAGCAACGCCGCGUGCGGGAUGACGGCCUUCGGGUUGUAAACCGCUUUUCGGGGGGACGACCCUGACGGUACCCCCGGAAUCAGCCCCGGCUAACUCUGUGCCAGCAGCCGCGGUAAGACAGAGGGGGCGAGCGUUGUCCGGAGUCACUGGGCGUAAAGCGCGCGCAGGCGGCAACCUAAGUGUCGUGUGAAAGCCCCCGGCUCAACCGGGGGAGGCCAUGGCAAACUGGGUCGCUCGAGCUGCGGAGAGGCCCCUCGAAUUGCCGGUGUAGCGGUGAAAUGCGUAGAGAUCGGCAGGAAGACCAAGGGGGAAGCCAGGGGGCUGGCCGCAGGUGACGCUGAGGCGCGACAGCGUGGGGAGCAAACCGGAUUAGAUACCCGGGUAGUCCACGCCGUAAACGAUGACCACUCGGCGUGUGGCGACUAUUGACGUCGCGGCGCGCCCUAGCUCACGCGAUAAGUGGUCCGCCUGGGAACUACGAGCGCAAGCUUAAAACUCAAAGGAAUUGACGGGGGCCUGCACAAGCAGCGGAGCGUGUGGUUUAAUUCGACGCAACCCGAAGAACCUUACCCAGACUGGACAUGACGGUGCAGACGGCGGAAACGUCGUCGCCUCCGAGGGCCCGU
rnacentral:rRNA from 1 species